rnacentral:pre_miRNA from 1 species
AAAAAAUACAAACCCUGAUUUUCGUGUCCAACGUUUGACCAUCCAUCUUAUUUAAAAAAAUUAUAAAAAAAAUUAAAAAGACAAGUCACACAUAAAAUAUUAAUCAUGUUUUAUCAUCUAACAACAAUAAAAAUACGAAUUAUAAAAAAAUUUCAUAUAAGACGGACAGUCAAAGUUAGACACGGAAACUCAGGGUUUGUCUUUUU